ensembl:lncRNA
CUGUUUUGAUAUUGUUUAUUGAUUUAAAUUAUUAUAUAAGCAACAGUUUGACUUAUAAGGUAAAUAAACAUUUGGUUUAAACAGAGAGUUUUGUAAUGAAUUAUGUAAAUAUAACACACAACUGUUAUUUCUACUUUGUUUUAUAAGAAUCCCAAAUUUUUAACCACUGAUUUUUCAUAUACAAAUUUAUCUUAUUUUUCGGUCUGUAAAUACAAAGACAUUUUACAUAAUGAAACAUACUAUUUACAUCAUGCACAAUUUAGAAUAACUAUAAAUAAGCACAAUCAAAUGAAUAAAAAGUGGUGUUACAGCAAAAGCAAAGACGUUUAUAAUCCUAUAAGUGCUUACAUACUUUUACACACACUAGUAUUCUUAAACUUUUAGUGAAAUGAGCCAUAUUUCAUCUUUUCAAUCAGAAAGCUUCUCUAAACUUGUACUACUGAGUAAAGAAAAAUACCUUAAAAUAUAAUAUGAAACAUCAAACAAACUUUUAAAAUUAAUGCUACAUGUUUAAAGGAUGCAAUCAUCUUUAAAAUUCAAAAAUAGCUUGACAUUUCAAAACAUAUGUACUUUAACCAUGCCCUAUGAAUAUAUUAGUAUAUAUCUUAGUAUUACUUUAUGACAUUGCAAUUUAAGUUUGUGAUAACUAGAUUUUUAAAAGUAACGAUUUACAAAUUAUAAUUUGAUAAUAAAAUAGCAAAUGGAAAAUACUAUUUACACUGCAGGUCAAACCAAAAAUUUAGACACAUGAAAUGAUAGCAAAUGACUUGGACAAAACAUUAAAAUAAUUCUGUUAUCUGGUUAAGUAAAACCUACCCCAUGCAGAGGAACUGAAUGAAGGCCUAGCACAGUAUACUCAUGUGAUUUUAUUAAGUGGGUUGGGGAAACCUGUUUAUAUUUAUAUCGCAUUUGAAUAUUUGAUAGAAAUACAUUGGCUACUUACAUAUUAAAAUGAGCAGGCAGAUUUUUGUUUGUUUUUGUUUUUAUCUAAACACUGUUAGGGAAAUGAAAACCUUUGGCUUGAUAAAAUGGCUAUUCACAGUUGAAUUGUCAGAAUUCAGGUAGAUUGAUUUUGAAAUGAAGAAUGAUAUGUAUUAUUUCUGAAAUACACUUAAUUGUCUAUGGCCAUACCACCCUGAACAUGCCCGAUCUCUUCUAAAUGCACUUAAUUGAUAAAUUUUAAAAGCAUAAUGAGACAGCUUUGUCACUUGAUUACCAAAAUUAUAAUGUGAUUAAAGGCAGUUAUAAAAUUACAGUUUGUCCAAGGAAAACUUUCCAGGAAGUUUUUAUUUUUAAAGAAAAAAAGCUGUUAAUUCAACUCUAAGAAAAUCAGAAAGUUGUUUUGCCCAUUAACCGUUUUUCUAUUUGAACUUAACCUUACUUUCCUAGUAGUAAUAAGCUGCCAUUAUUAUGUGAAUCAAUUUCCACAUAGUUGGAAAAAUUUUUGCUUAUCUCUAAAUAAUAAAAGGAGACAAUGACUAGUAGUUGUUAUUUUUGCCAGUCUGGGCCUUCAAUAUAAAUUUAGUAAGAGGCAACAAAAUAGAGGGAGAAAACGGCACUGUAGCUCACAGCUGUUCAAAUGUCAUCUGAUAUUUCAUCUGUAUUCCUCAACCAUAUUUCCUCUAUUUUUACAUUCAUUACUGAAAAUAUUUCCCUCAACAAAUAAAAAUGACAAAGAUACUGAAGGUCAUAUUUCUACCCCCCACCAAAAAUAAAGUAUUAAGGUCUAUCAUUUCAAGACAAAGGUUUUCUUAACACUGAAAAAUAUAGGAAGAAAGAAAUUUGCAUUUUCAUAGAUGUCAAUUUAUAUGGAAGCUGCCUAUUUUUUCACAAUUUCAAAAUAAAUAUCAAUAUAAAUAAAAAUUGAUUGACAUAGAAAUUCUUCCCUUUGAAGUUUUAAAUUUUCUGAAUUUUUCAUAUCCUUUCCUUUGACAGACUACCUGAUUUGUUAUAGUAGAAGAUCCCUGAGGUGUUCAAUGAAGUUCAGAUGAGAAAUAAGUACCAAAAUUCAAAGGUAUUUGACUUACUGAAGCAAAUCUUUCCAGAGAGAAAACAUAGCUAUAUCAUUUCUACAUAAUUUGCUGUUAAUGAACACAAACAAAUGUAUGUCACAUAGAAAACUUAUUAAAGAGCUUGAAUGUAAUAUUAAUAACAACAAAAAUUAAUAAAAUUUUCAGUUUUAGAGAUUUAAUAUUCUUUAAAUCUUGUUCAAGACUUGUUCAAAUUAUUGUGGUAUUAGGGAUAUCUAAAAUAGAAGAACAUACUCUCUGUCUUUCUCAUUAUUCCUUUAAAUGAGAUGUUUCAUUUCUUUUCCUUUAUGAAUCAUAUUAUCUGCUAGAAAUUACUGAAUUUCCCCUGGAAAAUAUGGUUUUGGAUUGGGAUUUGUAAAUGAUUGAUCCCUCAAUAUAGCUACCAUAAAAAGAUCCAACCUGUGUUUUUAUACUUAAGAUUAUGGUAAUUUGUUAAUUCUAGUGAAUAACUCAAAACUAUGGUUAUAAAUAACUAUCUAAAAUGCCAAAAUUUAAAGGCAUAGAGCUAAGAAAUUUGGAAUACAUAUUACUUUUUCAAUACAGUAGACAUGAAAUUGAUAGCAAACAUUUUCAAACCCUCUAAAAAGAACCCAAACACCAUACUAUGUCAUACCCUUACAGAAGGGUAUACAGGAAGCAACACAGUGUAUCUGUCAUCUCUAGACAAAGAGCCAAUAAAACCAAGUAGUACCUGGGAAGUAGUUUUUGAAAAAAAAUUUCCCUAUAGGUAGAAGAAGCUUCUUUUCUAUUUUUAUCUUUAGCAGUGUGGUGCCCAAGGGAAGAUUUACCAUUUGAAAAUAAGAGGAUUUUUUUCAAAUUAAAAUGUUUGUAGGAGGAGAUUGUCCAAAAAGGGUGACCCUGAUAUUUCUUGAAAUCGUGUUAAAAUUCAGUAAAAGCAGAGCAUUUGAAAAAGAAAACAAAACCUUAUGUUUCUCUUAACUGAUGAAAUGUCUAUAGAAGCCAAGGUCUCAAUGUCUCAAACAUUUCUAUACCCCAGUGGUCUGUAUCUGAAUAGUCACCUUCUUUUCCUUACCUCAUGAAUUCAUAAAGUGUCCAAUCAUGUGAAAGUGAAAAAGCAAUCUCAACCAUAAUAAUAAAAUAUUAUUUUUCAUAUACUUUAUAAGAAAAAGAAAAAAGGAAGGGAGGAAGGAAGGAAGGGGUGAGAGGGAGAGGGAGGGAUAAAAGAAAGGAAAGGAAGGAGGGAGAGAUAGAAAAGAGAAGCUGAGGAUGCUGACAAACUUCAGAACCUAAAUAUUUUAGUGCACAUAACCCCUAUAGAUAUAGCCCAUUCAUUUUACAUUCAUCAAUAAUCUUAUUCAGAAAUAACAUCAAACUCUAUUGUUUAUUCAAGUUAUAGCCACACUUGAUAUUUGGACUCUUGCAUGGUUUCUUAUCAGCAUAAAGACUAUGCUAAUAUUAAAUUAGAUCAUAAUGCAAAUAUUGAUUAAAGACAUAGUACCAAAUAUUCCCAAAUUCUGCACUGAUGGGCACAUAUAAAACAAGAUAUUUUGUUCCUUUAAAUCUUUUUAUUCUGAUUAGCAUAUUUCCUGUUUCUUGAUCAAAAUUUUGACAUGUUGCAUUUCAUGAUAUCCUGUUAUGUAUUAAUAGUGUUCUAAAAAUAAACUAUAAUCAGUUAGCCUUCCCAUCUAUUUUCAACUUUCUUCUAAGUUAAGAGGGUUGAGUUAUUUUUAGACAAUUUAAUGUAGGCAAAGUGAUGUUUGUCUCUUGUAAUCUUCUAUGUAGGUGUCUUUUUUUUUGGUUGCAGUCCAGCUGAAGUAAAAUGGGAUACUUCCUACAGUCAGAUAUUCAUUUGCAUUUUAGUAGGAGAAUUUUUCUUUAGACAGGAAAAAAGAGUAUUUUAAGGAUUAAAAGAAAAAGCAAUGAGUACCAACUAUUUCAGGUCACUGAAUUGCAUAACAAUGGAAAGGGAUGGAUUUUAUAAUUGUCUGGUAACAUACUUGAAACAAAUUAAAAGGAUAAGAAUAAUAAUUUUGGCUACCAUUCACUAGUAAUUAUCUUUGUACAACAAGAGCAAAAAUAAUUUUUUAAAAAUUCCUUGAAUUAUUGUAGAUAAUUACAGUCAUCCAGUUUAUCUAUACCUGCUUUGCUAGAAUGAAAUCUAACAUAAGAAUAAAUAUUUUAUUUUUAAAAAUUUCUCAUUCUUGAUAAUACUUUCUAGUCAAAUAAUACAAAAACAAUUUAUCUGAGACUUCAAGCCAAUCUGAUUUUAACCUGGUAAUUUAUAUCAAUAAAAUUUGGAGAGAGGGGUUUCAUGUUGAUAACAUCUAGCCACUCCAGCAUGGAGUUUUCUUUAACUAUGGAGAUUUGAACUAUAAAAAAGCUUACAAAGUUGGGGGGGCAGAUUUUAAAUUAUUUUACAGAAAUAAUUGGUGCAGAUCAUCCUAGUCUCAGGUAUUAUAUAUCAUCCCAUACUCUCCUGCCAGCUUUCAACGAUAGUGAUAUUGACCAUAAAGGAAAGCUUCUUGGGAGUCAAUAAAAAUGGAAUUGUUCUAGGAAUUGAGAUUUCAUUAAGUAUAGAAAUGCACACCUUCUUGUUAGUCAGAAAACAUAUAGAAUAACAUAUUUAUUAUUCAAAAUUUUAAACAUAAAUUAUUUUUCAUUUAGAUUUUAUUCUGAGAAGUUGAGAUACUUUGCUCUAGAUCAAUAUAUAGAUGAAUGGGAAUACAGUAUACUUGACUGUUACCCUUAACCCUCAUAUUAUUAAAAACAGCUUAUUAUUUUAAGUAAAAGAAUGCUGCCAAAUUUACAAACCAAAGCUCAUUGCCAAAAUUAAUAACUUUGUCUCAUUCAUGACAUCUUCUACAUCUUUCUUUCUUGCAACAAAUGGAAAAUGUAGAGAAAAAAUAUGAAAUGUGAUUUAUACUUCUUUGUUAUCCUUUUCUUUCUCAGUGCUGAAGCACUUCAUAUCUUUAGAAAAAUUUCAAAAAUUUUUAGCAUUCUGAAAUUUUGCUGUAAGUAAGCUGGCUUUCAAGACAGCAACUUUUUGUCCUAAAUUAUUUUUCUAACACAGGGAGCUCAACCUGGUGCUCUGUGACAACCUAGAGGGGUGGGAUGGGGGCUUGGUGGGAGGGAGAGAGGGUUCAAGAAGGAGAGAAUAUAAGUAAACUUAUGGCUGAUUUGUGUUGUUGUUCAGCAGAAACCAACACAAUAUUGUAAAGGAAUUUUUCUCCACUUAAAAAUAAAUUUAAAAAACAGUCUAAUAAUUCUGAUUAAAAAUUGCUCGUUUGUUUCUUCCUUUUAAAAUUUCAGUUCUAAACAAACUCUGCUUGAAUUAACUAGCUUCAUGUAAAGUGAAACAUCUUUAAACGAUGUUUAGAGACUAUCUAACCCGUUUAAUUUUAAAAGACAGGGAGUACACCUUCAUCUCUCCUUCCGAACAUCAUCAAAUGUUGUGAGGUAAUUGUUUCCCCAGCUCCAGGAUUCUGGAGCAUCCCAGAAUAAGAUGGAAAGGCCUGGUAUCAUAAAAUCUUGUAUGUCCUCUAAAGUUGAACACCUGUUUUGCUUGCAGCUAAAGGUCAAAUUGAAAGCAAUGUGAAGAAGAAUAUAGAAUACCGUAUAGAUCCCCCAAGCCAUUUUAUAGAUGUAACUACACAGAAUAAAUAUUUCCUAAUCUUUGUGAUUAGAUUUUCCAACUAGGGAAUGAUAUAACUUCUAUAAUGUCAGAACAACAACAACAAAAAAAUGAAGUACAAAAUCAAAUUGUAUUCUUCUCUCUGAAUGUUAGCUCAACCAGGCUUGUUAUAACAGAAAAAAAAAUUUUGCUUUAGUAUUACUUAAACACAGACAGUCUUUUGUGCUAAUUUUCACAGGCUUUCUGUGAUAUACAUCUGAUCUGAUCUGAUAUUUUUUCUUCUUUGCUCCUUAAGUCCAGCCAUUCUGACACUUUCAUUGAUCUUAAUCAUCAUAACCAAAACUAGUUCUAUUUACCACCUUCAGAGUCUCUAUAUAUAGCUUUGUGAGUUUCUAAUUCCAGUUUCACAGAUGUGUGCCCCUGCUAAGAGUUGUCACUACUUCCUAAGAAAACUGAAAAUAGUUCAUGAAGGAUUUUUUUCUAUUUUCUUUUUAAAACAAAAAUGAGCAAAUCAUUUGGUUUUCACUAAACUACAUGUGUCUAUUAUGAAAACUGCCUCCCUUUAGGAGUAUGUACACCUUCACAAAGAAAACAGUUCAAUCUCUAACCAAUCUCAUCUAAAGCUCCUGCUCAUCCCACCCCUCCAUCUGUCCCUAUGUACUGAGUCUGAUGCCAGGCAGCAAAAUGGGAAGAACUGUCUCUAAAAAGUAAGGAGUUUAAUUACUUUACAAUAUUAUAUUGGCUGUAAUUAACCUUCAAUUAAAAUAAAUAAAUUUAUAUUAAAAAAUAAACUAAAAGACUAUGUAAUAAACACUGAUUAUAAAAAAAAGUAAGGAGUGUGAGGAAACAAUUUUGCAGAAUUCUGAUUUUAUCCCAAUUAAUACAUUACUGUUCUACUUAUUAAUUACACUUAAUAGCCCACAGUAAAAAUUCAUUUAGUAGAAUUCCUUCCUUAUCUCCAACUAGCCAAAAGGCCACAGAGGAAGAUUAAAUAUAAACCAAUUCCUUUAUUUAAAAAAUAUAUAUCAAAAGAAUUAGAAACAAGCUAUUACUUAAGCUCAUCAUUUAGUUUUUCUUGUCUCUUCUGCUUUCAAAUAGUUAGCAAUAGUACUUAAGUCUAACAUUAAGAGUGGGCUGAUUAGCAACUACAUAACUGAGGAAAUAAAUUUACUGUAAUUUUUAGUGGACUCAAAUAUUUUUAUUAUUUAUUAUCAAAAGCAUAUUAAGAUAUAAGCUUCCAAUGAUAUACAAAAAGACGAUCAUCAAAUGCUUUCUCAGUAGGAAAAAAUAAACAACUUUCCCAGUGACUCAACACACCCUGCUUAAUUUUUAUACGGGAAUUUUAUAAACUGUGUAGGAGGAUGUUAAUUUAAGCUUUGAUGUUGGUAGUUGAAAGGUAAAAUACUAGCAAGUUUACUCAUGAUUCCAAUUGUGAUCAGAUUCAAGAUUACAAGGGAGUUUAUCCAUCUAGACAAUAAUAGAAGCUGUAAUCUCAUGGACAGAGGAGCCUGGCAGGCUAAAGUCCAUGGGGUCACAAUGAGUCAGACAUGACUUAGUGACUAAACAAGAAUCUUAUUUAGAGGCUUAGGAAUGGAUUCUGACCUUAUAUGAUUUUGCUAAAUAAUAAUCAGAUGAUUAGAAGUACCUCAGUGUAUCAUAAAUUUCCCUGUUACUUUUAAUUGUAAUCCUGAUACAUGAUUCUAAAUGAGGGAGGAGCAAUUUAACUACUAAAGGACUGAUUAUUAUUAACCAUGCUGUAUCUGAUUAAAAUUAUAUUUUAAGAAAAUAGAAAUAUGAAUUAAUCAUUUUGAAGCCUGUGAGCUUUAGUGUAAUUGUCAAAUGAAAAGUACAAGCUAUUUUAAACAUAAUUACACAAUAAUUUUCAGACAUUUUAAAAUUAUACUAUAGAUGAAUUUCAGCCAAUCACAUUCUGAAAGCCAAAAUAUUAUUGUACCUACUUAACAUUCAGUAUCACAGAAAACAGUGAAAAUGACUCUUUAAUCUUUUAUCUUAUCAGACCUAAUAAAAUCAAUAGUUGAAUUAAUUACCUUAUCCCAAGGUGUAUCUAUAUUUUUGCCAAGCCUACACUCUCAAUUAGUUCAUCCAACCCAUUCUAUAUUUUUUCUCAUUUAUCUAUAGUUAAAUACUUCUAUUUAUUAUAUACUACAAAGAUCUGAAAAUCUGGGCACAAAACAUUUACAAUGCUUUCAGAGGAAUAGAAAUCAUAUUAUGAUAGAUAUCAAUAAUUAUACAUCAGAAACAAUCUGAUCAGAAUAUAUCAAUUACUUCAUAGCAUGUGUGCAAAUGAAGGAUUUAUGAGAGAGAUUAAGCAUGUUACCUGCUCAGAUAAUUUUUUAUCUAUCCCUUGCUGCUCAUUUUGCUGUAGUAGAAUGGUGAACAUCAUUUAAAAGUCCACACUACUUAUAUUAUUGCUUAUGUAAGACAUGUCUUUAUUUCCCUAAACUUGCAUAGGAGUGCAAGUUUCAUACAUCAUCAUCAUCAUGGCUUAGAUUAUUGCUUAAAGGUUGUUGUUAUAAAAUAUUGCUAGGAAAUAAUUUUUAAAUGAAUGUACGAUUCAAUGCGAAAAGUACAGCGUGAGACUAAGCAUCAAGUUGGUGAUGUUUUAGAACAUAAAAAUCAAAGCAUUCAGAAGUAAGGCUGUUACUUUGACAUUUACUUCUCUGUCCAAACAUUCAUAGUUCAUAUCUUGGUGGUAAGGGUCAGCAAAUAUUGUGAUGUUCUCUGCACAGCUCUGGCAGUUUCUAAGAAAAUCUUACUGUGUCUAGAAUGCCUAAUAGUGAGCAAUAUUCAUCUCUCAUGCUUAUCAAUAUUGACUUAAGUCUACAAUAAAUUUAAAGACUUAUGCUCAAAAAGUUGACUAUAAAUUUGAAACCAAAGCUGAAAAAUUAAAACUUGUGAAAGAAAUAAUGUUAUGAAGCCUGGCACAUUUGCUUUUCAAAAUAACUACAAAUAAAAUAAUAUAUUUCUAUCUCAGUCAGCUUGUAUUUAUUCCUAGUAAUUGGGAUUAUUUGAAUAUUCUUCAGUGAUCCUCACAUCUGGCUGUAUAUUAGCAUAACCUAGAGUGAUUUUCUAAAUACAAAUUCCUAGGCCUUCACCUGAAACCUACUGAAUCCAAAUCUUAAAGGUAAAGCCAGUAAUUUGUGUCCCUAAAAUUUCCUCAGGUAUUCCUUCAUAGCUCAGUUGGUACAGACUCUGCCCGCAAUGCAGGAGACCUGGGUUCAAUUCCUGGGUGGGGAAGAUCCCCUGGAGAAGGAAAUGGCAACCCACUCCAGUAUUCUUGCCUGGAGAAUCCCAAGGACAGAGGAGCCUGGCAGACUACAGUCUAUGGGGUCACAAGAGUUGGUCAUUACUUAGUGACUAAACUACUACCACUACUAAAAGCUUCCUAAGGCAGUCAGAUACUGCCAAGCGAUGAGCUGAAACACUGAACAGGAUCAUUUCUUAGUAAGGAUGGAACUGGCAAUGAGGCACAUUGCUGACGCUGUGGUCUGUGUGUCACAGCACAACAGAAAUAAAGACACAAACUUUACUUUUCUAUAUCCCAAGUCCUUCCAAAAUGUCAUUUCUUUUAAUCAUGUAAUAUCUACAUUCAGUGCACACAAAUGCAUAUUGUUUAUUACUUUAUAAAACUAUUCUAUAACAUAAGAUUAGCUGUGAUUCUUCCUGUUUAGAAAUGUAUCAAUGACUUUUUUUUUCUGUUAACUUGCUAUACUUUAUUUUUUAUUUUUUUUUACUGUAUUGGUUUUGCCAUACAUUGACAUGAAUCCAGCACAGGUGUAUAUGCGUUCCCAAACAUGAACCCCCCUCCCACCUCCCUCCCCACAACAUCUCUCUGGGUCAUCACCGUGCACAAGCCCCAAGCAUGCUGUAUCCUGCGUCGGACUUAGACUGGCCAUUCGAAUGAAACUAGAUCACUUUCUAACACCGCACACAAAGAUAAACUCAAUGACUUUUUAAUGAAAUGAAAAAGAAAGAAAAGAAGGAGCAAUGACUUUUAUGAAAGGAAAAAAGGAACAAAAGAAGGAAGUAAACAGAAAGGUAACAUAAUACUCAGGCUUCAACUUUUUGAAUCAAGUAUAAGGAAUUUUGUACACUGUCUCAAAAUGCUCUGACAAAAUUUAUGUUAGUUCGUAUAUAAUAUCAGUGUCUGUUCUUUAUUCAAGACCAUGAGGAACGUGAAAUUGAGUCCACAGCUGCAGUCAGUUUAUCCAUUUAACAAUAACAUUCCUUCAAUCAUGUUAACACAAUUUAUGUACAUGUUAAGUCAGCUGGUUGUAAAUUAAGUGUAUUCAUAUCAAGAGCAACCCUUAAAGAAUCAUCAUGCAGAAUGUAGUAUGUUACACUUCAAUAAUGAAGCCUCUCGUGCAUUGUGUUUUUCAGGUUACAUCUAAUAAGAUAUGCUCACAGAAGCCUCUGAAAUGACAUAAUUUUUGUAGCUGAAGAUAUGCUAUAGUUUUCCAGUCACCAAGUUGUGUCCGACUCUCUGUUACCUCCAUGAACUGUGGCACGCCAGGCUUCCCUGUCCUUCAUUAUCUCCCUGAGUUUGCUCAAACUCAUGUCCUUUGAGUUAGUGAGGCAUGCAACCAUCUCAUCCUCUGUUGCCCCUUCUCUUCUUGUCCUCAGUCUUUCCUAGCAUCAGGGUAUAAUCUAAGACAAAUACACAGGCUAUCAUAUAGGGCUUAGGUCUUAGACUUGAAUUUCUAGGUAUUGUUGGAUGAAAGACAUCUGAUGCCACCCAGAGCCUAUUCAGAGCUAUGUGUAAUUCAUUCUGAAGGAAUAUUUAUUUAUUUUUUUAUGCCACAAUUUAUUAACCAUUUUAUUAUUGAUAGACAUGUAAGCUGUUUCCAACUUUUUUUUUUUUACUUUAUUUUACUUUACAAUAUUAUAUUGGUUUCGCCAUACAUCAAUUUUCAUUGAAAUUGCACAAAGUGCUUAGAGCCAGAUUGUAUUUUAAAGAGAGCAGAGAAAGAAGCUACAGGUAUAAGCAAUGCUCCAGCUCAACUAAGAAUGGUUAGUUCACUUGAGAUGUGCUUUGUUACUUGGGCCUGGAGUCUUGUGUAUCUUCCAAUCUGCCUAAAAUAGGCAUCUGCAACUCUUUCUAUGGCCAUGUUAGGUUCAGAGGUACAGAGAAAAUGGGGUUUGAUUGAGCCAAACUUGACUUGGUAAAAUGGUUUCCAAUGACAGCAUGGAGUAAGAGAGGAUCUGGACAUGUGUUAAGUUGUGCUGAAAAUGCAGACAAACAAAAACAAAUAGAAGUUUUACUGUCUUCUCUAAUAAUCCACAAACUUGCCUUGAGUGAGUUAGGAAUACAAGGAAUCUUCAGUAAAUAUAUUUAAUGACAUUCAUAAUCUUGAACUCCCUCUUUAUUCCUCAUGAUAUCAAAUAUACCAUUUUAACUGAUAUCAGUAUGAUUCUGUAGAAAAAGACAGCCUGGCAGUUUUCCAGAUUCUCUGGAUUUGUGUUCUCUAUCCAUCAGUUUAAUUUUGCUUUAUUGCUAUAACUCUUUCGAGGUAUUUGCCAAAUUAAGACUUGUGAAUGAGAUUUUGCUUAAGUGGUUGUUCUAUUUUGCUCCUGGAGAGACACAUAACUUUGCAUUUUGUCAAUAAAACGCUAUGGUCCUGCCACUGUUGUUACUAGAUAAGGAAAGUGUGAGAUCUUGGGAAUACAUACUUGAAGCACUGCUGCUGCUGCUGCUGCUGCUAAGUCGCUUCAGUCAUGUCCGACUCUGUGCGACCCCAGAGACGGCAGCCCACCAGGCUCCCCCAUCCCUGGGAUUCUGCAGGCAAGAACACUGGAGUGGGUUGCCAUUUCCUUCUCCAAUGCAUGAAGGUGAAAAGUGAAAGUGAAGUCGCUCAGUCGUGUCCGACUUAUAGCGACCCCAUGGACUGCAGCCUACUAGGCUUCUCCGUCCAUGGGAUUUGCCAGGCAAGAGUACUGGAGUGGGGUGCCAUUGCCUUCUCCAACUGAAUCCCCCAUAAACCCACUCUCAAGUCUUAGGCUAUCAGUGCCUCUCUCAGAGUCACCAUUGGUCAUACACAGCUCACUGGAUUUCACACAUAAUCAGACAUUAAAAGGGAAAUUAAAAAAUAUUUUAAAAUUUUAAGAGAAGAGUAUCAAGGCCGAUUUUAGACAGUUGGACUAAACUGUUAUCUAGAAGUUGUUUCUUCCUUCCCAUCUCUACUCAACACUACAUAGUCGAGUUCCAACUAUAUGUGUUCUUCAGGCAUUAUUAUUCUUUUUAUUAUGGCUGUUACUUAUUUAUUAAGGUUCACAAAGCACAUAUGUGCAGUAUGUUUUGGGUACCUAUGGGGGGUUUCUGGCUUUGUUAUAUAACUCAUUUAUUUGUAAACAAUGACAUUCUCGCCAUUAAAAUCAUAUUGAUGCCAACAUAAAUGUUUGGUACUGAUGGCUAGUCAUAAAGUAACUUCUUCAAAUCAGUUGCUUGAAAGAAUACUGAAACAGAGGACUAUAGGUGCCAUUUUCCCUCUUAAAGUAUCCCCUUUAGAGUGGGUAAAGCCAUUUCCCCAAUUUAAUACCACUUGAUUUCUAAAGGGACAUUCAUUUAAAUUCCUUCCAAUCUGCCACACUAAAAGACAUGAUGGAUGUAAUAGUUUGUCCAUGCAAAUACUGUAUAGAUAUUUGUCAAAUGAAAUACCAAAUACCACCUGUUAUUACAAUCACAAUUGCUAAUGGAGGAUACAUGUACUGUACUCUAUAGGACAAAUAAAAAUAUAAUGCUUUUUCACAGCCUCUAAAUUCUAUGAUUGCAGCUAGAAUGAAUUGCCAUGUUAUACCAUAUUUUGCAAAUACAUAUAGGAAGAGUGUAGCUAUAAUAAGUCAGCUGUACUAGGUUGGAAAAAUGGUGAUAGGUCAGAAUAUUGCCUCAGACUAUAUAUUCAAAGAUAUAUAUUGUAUGAAAAAUGUAGUUUACAUUCUCUUUGUGAUAUUGAAUAUAUCUCUGGCAUAUUCUUCAUUGUGACAUUUGUGACAACAUAAAUAGCUACUUUUCUCUAAGUAAAAUCAUAUAAACUAAGAAAGAGCUUAUUCUCACAAAUUGAAUAUAUACAAUUUUUAUCCCAAGCUCUAUCAGCAACUACUAGAUAAUGAAGUAGAUUGCCAAGGAUGCUUUUAAAAUAUGCUUCCCACAGAUAGUUUUGAGUAUAGAGAAAAUAAACAUAUGUUUAGAAUAGUUGCUUAGACAAAUCUUUACGAAAAGCAGAGAAAUAGAUUGGAUGAUUCUUGGAAGUCCCUUUCAGCCUUAUGGUCACAAAACACAUUGGUUGUGAUUAAAAUGCUUACAAUUUACUAUUUCACAAUAUGCUUUAAGUGACUGUGCAGAAUAACCAUUAAUGACUUCAGUGAGUUUGGUUCUUUCCGCAUGCUCCUGCGCUAUAAGAAGACCAUAGCUAAGGCAUUCCUAGUAUCGGCAAGAGGAUUAAAGUGCUCCCAGAGUCUAUUCUUUCCACACUGACUGUAAGCUUGCCCUCUAUUCCCUAUGGAAGAAGUGCGUUAAUCUUCUAGUCCACUAAAGAAAUUAUUUUGUGAGUAAUUAUUCGUAUGAGAGCACCUUGUCCUCUGCCUCCACAGCCUCUUAUAAACACCCUGGCCUUCUUGCGCAGAUGUGGUUAAACACAGAGACCUAGAUCCAAGGAAUGGAGGGACAGGCAAGGAUUCAGAGAGUUCAGGAUCUAGGUCCUAUCCCCACAUGAAAAGUGUUACACUAGUGUCCUCUUAUGCUCCAAGGAGAGACAGAGUUCAAUAGUUAUAAAAAUGAUAACCAUUAUAACAAAUAUUUUGCAUAUCUAGAAGUAUUUCCUAGCUGUAUAGUUAGGGAGCUUGAAAACACUAAUUAAUCCUCACAGACUAUAUUGGACACUAGUUAAUAUAUUCCUUAACUGAGUUAUGUGACAAGCAAAUCAUAAUGCAGUUAAAACCCUAAACAGAAAAAUGUGCUUUAUUCAGCAGACAUAAGCUACCAAUGAAUAUACUUACUGGAAUAAGAAAUUGGCCACCACAAGGUUUCAAGGAACAAUACU